AUCAUUUAUUUAUAUUUUUUUGGAUCAUUCUUUUUAAACAUUAUGUCGAGCAAAAAACAGCAAAAUACAUUUCAAGGUAAAGAAUGCUUCAGCCGUAUGAAUUUCCUAUUUCAAGCGUCCAUGCUAAUGGCAGGAAGUAAUAAAACUUUGGCAGCUUACUAUGGAGAGCUGUGCAAGAAUAUUGGCAAAAAAGCGGUGCUUAAAAUUGAUCCGGAUGUAAAGCGGCAACUAUGCAAGCGCUGUUCAUUGGCUUUGCAGCCGGGCAUUACCGCUGAUUUGGAAACUGUUUCACAAGGCAAGCGGCGGAAGUGCUCAAAAAAUACACAAAACGUAGAUGAAAAUACAAGUUUGAAGCUGACUUGCCAACAAUGUGGUUUCAAGAGAAAGUAUUUAGUAAAUUCGGAAUAUAAGUUUUGGUUGGAGAAUAAAGAAUCUGUGAUGGAAACCAUAACAGUUGAACAAGAAAAACAGAAAAUAAUUCGAAGUAAAGAGUCCAAAACGUUAGAAACAUGAAAUUCCUUGGAUUUUUCAGUUGCAAUAACUUAGUUAUACAUAUGUACGAAUACCAUUUGAGUACCAUGGAUGACAACAUGAAAGCAUCGGAUGAAGAGAUCUAACCGAGUGCAGUCAAACGUCUGUAAGAAUUAAAUCGAUGAUG
rnacentral:misc_RNA from 1 species